UGAAUAGGAGGGCCUUGAUCCCACAAUAAAUU
rnacentral:tRNA from 1 species